GCGUUGUUUGGAUUGUGAGACGAGAGUUUCGAUUUACUUCCAUGAUCAUUUAUUUGAAAUGUUGGAAUGGCCGAUCAAAAAGCUAGAAUAUUAUCCAACGUUGUCGUACAGUGUACUAUACCCAUUGAUUGUUGUCAUCCGGGUGGUUUUCAUUAUCAAGGUCAUUUGUUUAGGGGUUCACAGCAGGGAACCCAGGGUUUCGACAUCACGUUGUAAAUUUCUUAUGCUGCGAUUUAAAUUUGUUUAUCCAAGUUACAAAACGUAAGUUAAAUCCGAGAUAUAUUCGGUGUGUCUUGUCGUUUAAUUGACACGUUUAUAAUGUUUUAAUAAAUAAUACAGCUCACUAUUGUACGAUUGUAAGCUCACUUCACAGUUAACACCUGAUUAAUUGAUUAUCCUGAAAAGUCAUAUUGUAUAAACAAUUAUGUUUUGAUUGCAUAUCGAUCAGUGAAAUUAAUUAGACAAACCGGUUUUGACAGGUAAUAAUUAAUGUAAUUAAGAGUAUUGGGACUUCAUAAUUAGACCGGAAUUCGGAAUACACAGGGUCCGGUUUACAAAGGCUAUUUUAACAAAGACUUUGAAGGGAAAAAAAUGGGACUUUCAUUUUCGGCCGGAAUGUACAGGAAGCCGGUUUAUUCAGGGUCC
rnacentral:lncRNA from 1 species